GGUGAAGACACGUGAGCUGUGCAAUACAUGGCUCAAGGUGGAGUGCCGAACUAACACAGGAAGUGAAGGACUCCAGUAAGCUUUGCAAUGAAUGAUAUAAGGAAUAGUAUGAUUUCUGAAACAUCCUUCCAGAAGUCUAGCUCUCCAAGCUGCCAAGAGAGGGAAACAAUCGAUAGUCCUGCCCAGCAGUGACACCUAUGGCCACAGCAAUGACAAGCAUGAGGAACUUCUGCUCCCG